rnacentral:rRNA from 1 species
AAAYGAAYUKACGGGGGCCCGCACAAGCGGUGGAGCAUGUGGUUUAAUUCGAUGCACGCGAAGAACCUUACCUACUCUUGACAUCCACGGAAUUUGGCAGAGAUGCCUUAGUGCCUUCGGGAACCGUGAGACAGGUGCUGCAUGGCUGUCGUCAGCUCGUGUUGUGAAAUGUUGGGUUAAGUCCCGCAACGAGCGCAACCCUUAUCCUUUGUUGCCAGCGAUUCGGUCGGGAACUCAAAGGAGACUGCCGGUGAUAAACCGGAGGAAGGUGGGGAUGACGUCAAGUCAUCAUGGCCCUUACGAGUAGGGCUACACACGUGCUACAAUGGCGCAUACAAAGAGAAGCGACCUCGCGAGAGCAAGCGGACCUCACAAAGUGCGUCGUAGUCCGGAUCGGAGUCUGCAACUCGACUCCGUGAAGUCGGAAUCGCUAGUAAUCGUGGAUCAGAAUGCCACGGUGAAUACGUUCCCGGGCCUUGUACACACCGCCCGUCACACCAUGGGAGUGGGUUGCAAAAGAAGUAGGUAGCUUAACCUUCGGGAGGGCGCUUACCACUUUGUGAUUCAUGACUGGGGUGAAGUCGUAACAAGGUAACCGUAGGGGAACCUGCGGCUGGAUCACCUCCUUA